GGACAGUGGCAGACGGCUUAGUAACGCGUGGGUAUCUACCUAGAGGUUUGGAACAACUAUUGGAAACGAUAGCUAAUACCAAAUAUUCCCUAAGGGGGAAAGAUUUAUCGCCUUUAGAUGAGCCCGCGUCGGAUUAGCUUGUUGGUAGGGUAAAGGCCUACCAAGGCAACGAUCCGUAGCUGGUCUGAGAGGAUGAUCAGCAAGAUUGGGACUGAGACACGGCCCAGACUCCUACGGGAGGCAGCAGUGGGGAAUCUUGCACAAUGGAGGAAACUCUGAUGCAGCGAUGCCGCGUGAGUGAAGAAGGCCCUUGGGUUGUAAAGCUCUUUCGUCGGGGAAGAAA
rnacentral:rRNA from 1 species